GAUGAACGCUGGCGGCGUGCUUAACACAUGCAAGUCGAACGGUGAAGGCGGAGCUUGCUCUGCUGGACCAGUGGCGAACGGGUGAGUAACACGUGAGCAAUCUGCCCCUGACUCUGGGAUAAGCGCUGGAAACGGCGUCUAAUACUGGAUACGAGCUGCGAAUGCAUCUUCAGCAGCUGGAAAGUAUUUCGGUCAGGGAUGAGCUCGCGGCCUAUCAGCUUGUUGGUGAGGUAAUGGCUUACCAAGGCGUCGACGGGUAGCCGGCCUGAGAGGGUGACCGGCCACACUGGGACUGAGACACGGCCCAGACUCCUACGGGAGGCAGCAGUGGGGAAUAUUGCACAAUGGGCGAAAGCCUGAUGCAGCAACGCCGCGUGAGGGACGACGGCCUUCGGGUUGUAAACCUCUUUUAGCAGGGAAGAAGCGAGAGUGACGGUACCUGGAGAAAAAGCGCCGGCUAACUACGUG
rnacentral:rRNA from 1 species